CUGUGCGUAGGCGGGGAGUUAGCGGCACCCUGUAUCUGAAAUCCGCUAUAUCAGAGCCGAAUGCCUUUCUCGACGAAGUUUAUGGAAGGUCGCGCGUCGCAAGGAACGUUGAUCGUAAGGUCUUAUGCAACAUAAUGCCGUGAACCGUGUCAGGACGGGAACGUAGCAGCUCUAAGCGGAUGUUUGUGUGUGCCAUAAGGUAGCUUUACAGGAGUCACCUACGGCGUUUCCACUUCGGUAAAUUUCGGCAAAAAAGGAUCGCACAG
rnacentral:SRP_RNA from 1 species